rnacentral:rRNA from 1 species
UACGUAGGGGGCUAGCGUUAUCCGGAAUUACUGGGCGUAAAGGGUGCGUAGGUGGUUUCUUAAGUCAGAGGUGAAAGGCUACGGCUCAACCGUAGUAAGCCUUUGAAACUGGGAAACUUGAGUGCAGGAGAGGAGAGUGGAAUUCCUAGUGUAGCGGUGAAAUGCGUAGAUAUUAGGAGGAACACCAGUUGCGAAGGCGGCUCUCUGGACUGUAACUGACGCUGAGGCACGAAAGCGUGGGGAGCAAACAGGAUUAGAUACCCUGGUAGUCCCUGAG